rnacentral:piRNA from 1 species
UGCCAGCAAAUGACCAAUCUCAACUG